AAACAAGCUGCAAAUUCAUAUCGGUUAAAUCAGUCUAGUCUGUGGCUGGUUGAUGUGCCUGGUGGGUUAUAAGAGUGACUGGCUCAACCACUGUUUUGAAUCAGGAAAGGGAGACAAUUUUAUGCCUUGCCCUGAAAGGAAUAACAACCAAGUUUGUGGAUGAGCGGACAAUAGCAACUACAUGCUGCCUCCUCCUCCUCUUCCUCCUGCUGAGAGAAUUCUCUGAAGAAAGAGUUAAAGAGACAUGGUACUUCAUCCCAGGCCUGCAGACCUGCAGUUGCUAUUCAGGAUUCAAUUCAUUCCAGGCUGUCACCAUAGCCUUGAGAUGAGAGAGACUAAACAGAUAGAAUGACAAGCAGAAUUACCACCAGAUUUCCUUCUGUUCCACUCCACCCUGAAACCCUCUCUGGGAGUUUUCAUUCUUCAAACCUCAGUUUUCUGCUUUUUAAUCAA